rnacentral:lncRNA from 1 species
GGUGUUACCUGGGCCAGGUGGGGAAGGUUUGUUUGCAGAGCAAAGAAGUGAAGAGGAAGUAUUAACCCUUUGCAUGGCCUCCUGAGAAUCCGACAAGACGUAAAUAGCCAAGAAUAUCUGUGGAACUUAAUCACUGAGUUACAAUAUUUAUCACUGCAAGUGUGUUGUUCAUUGACACUAUAAAGCCAUGUGGAAUUAAGCAGCCUUGAAACACAAAAUGGAGAAAGGCUAAGAGCUGAGAAUUCUUGCCUUCAGGGAAAUACAAUCAAUGUCAAGCAAACAACCACCCCAAAAUGGUUAGCUUUAUCAGCAUUCAGGCCUACAGUGAAAGCAAAUGUUCCAGAUCUGAGUUUCAAUUUUUAAAGAAUAAACAUAUGCAAAUGACCAUUAGUCUUAGU